AUUGAACGCUGGCGGCAGGCUUAACACAUGCAAGUCGAGCGGGGGAAGGUAGCUUGCUACUGGACCUAGCGGCGGACGGGUGAGUAAUGCUUAGGAAUCUGCCUAUUAGUGGGGGACAACAUCUCGAAAGGGAUGCUAAUACCGCAUACGUCCUACGGGAGAAAGCAGGGGAUCUUCGGACCUUGCGCUAAUAGAUGAGCCUAAGUCGGAUUAGCUAGUUGGUGGGGUAAAGGCCUACCAAGGCGACGAUCUGUAGCGGGUCUGAGAGGAUGAACCGCCACACUGGGAAUGAGACACGGCCCAGACUCCUACGGGAGUCAGCAGUGGGGAAUAUUGGACAAUGGGGGGAACCCUGAUCAGCCAUGCCGCGUGUGUGAAGAAGGCCUUAUGGUUGUAAAGCACUUUAAGCGAGGAGGAGGCUACUUUAGUUAAUACCUAGAGAUAGUGGACGUUACUCGCAGAAUAAGCACCGGCUAACUCUGUGCCAGCCGCCGCAGUAA
rnacentral:rRNA from 1 species